AAACCAACAUUUCUCCCCAUAUUUACUUACCAAUAAAUACCUCCUCUCUCUCGUUGCUUUCCACCCAAUUAAAUAAACAAAAAUGCAGGCCUCCCCCCUAAACCUCCGUACCAGCUCUGGCCUUCCUCUUUGUCUCUCAGGGUUCACAAGCUCCCUCACUCUCUCCCAAGAAAUAGCAGAUCAUGAUCUGAGAAGAGAAGCCAUGAAAAAGCAAAAGACACAAAGCAGAAGGGCUUCACUCACAGAUCUAGAGGCUCUUGUAAAUGGGCUCUCUUUUGUUUCUCUACAGCAGCAGCAGCAGCAACUGCUCCCUUGUCCUGCAAAAGCUGCUUAGUUUUACUUUUAGUUUCUGUAAUUCAAAUGGUCUAAGUUAUGGGCUUGUUGAUUCUCAAGCUGGAUCAGAUCUGUGUUUAUUUUGGAUCAUGCUUCUCAUUGAUUCUUGUUAUGUUAUGUUUUUUCUUUUCA